rnacentral:rRNA from 1 species
AUUGAACGCUGGCGGCAUGCUUUACACAUGCAAGUCGAACGGUAACAGGCCUUCGGGUGCUGACGAGUGGCGCACGGGUGAGUAAAGCAUCGGAACGUGCCCAGAGGUGGGGGAUAACGCAGCGAAAGCUGUGCUAAUACCGCAUGUGAUCUGAGGAUGAAAGCGGGGGACCAAGCAGCAAUGUUUGGCCUCGCGCCUCUGGAGCGGCCGAUGUCAGAUUAGGUAGUUGGUGGGGUAAAGGCCUACCAAGCCGACGAUCUGUAGCUGGUCUGAGAGGACGACCAGCCACACUGGGACUGAGACACGGCCCAGACUCCUACGGGAGGCAGCAGUGGGGAAUUUUGGACAAUGGGCGCAAGCCUGAUCCAGCAAUGCCGCGUGAGGGAAGAAGGCCUUCGGGUUGUAAACCGCUUUUGUACGGAACGAAAAGGCUCUGGCUAAUACCUGGGGCUGAUGACGGUACCGUAAGAAUAAGCACCGGCUAACUACGUG